GCUUCAUGUUCCACUUCCCAGGAAAAGUGUUGAACUUUGAAUGUUGCUCUGACUUUCUGUGUGUCUUCCAGUCCUCUCUCUCUCUCUCUCUCUCUCUCUCUCCAGCUGAUUGGGCUCCUCCAACAUGCUCUGCACCCUGCUCUACCUGUCUGCUCUCAUCGGGCUGGCAGGUGCUCAGAUAUUUUCCCUUCCUGCAGUGUUUAACAUCAGCUCAUGCCCCAUCACGUUUUAUGGACAGAAGUACGAACAACUCUAUGUGAACUCCACAAAUGUCUGUUUCAUUGACCCUUUCAACAAUCAAACCAGACAGGACUGUAUUGUAGG